GAUGAACGCUGGCGGCGUGCCUAAUACAUGCAAGUCGAGCGAACAGACGAGGAGCUUGCUCCUCUGACGUUAGCGGCGGACGGGUGAGUAACACGUGGAUAACCUACCUAUAAGACUGGGAUAACUUCGGGAAACCGGAGCUAAUACCGGAUAAUAUAUUGAACCGCAUGGUUCAAUAGUGAAAGACGGUUUUGCUGUCACUUAUAGAUGGAUCCGCGCCGCCUUAGCUAGUUGGUAAGGUAACGGCUUACCAAGGCGACGAUGCGUAGCCGACCUGAGAGGGUGAUCGGCCACACUGAAACUAAGACACGGACCAGACUCCUACGGGAGGCAGCAGUAGGGAAUCUUCCGCAAUGGGCGAAAGCCUGACGGAGCAACGCCGCGUGAGUGAUGAAGGUCUUCGGAUCGUAAAACUCUGUUAUUAGGGAAGAACAAAUGUGUAAGUAACUAUGCACGUCUUGACGGUACCUAAUCAGAAAGCCACGGCUAACUACGUG
rnacentral:rRNA from 1 species